CAGCCGCCGCGGUAAUGCGAAGGGUGCAAGCGUUAAUCGGAAUUACUGGGCGUAAAGCGUGCGUAGGCGGUUUGUUAAGUCUGUUGUGAAAUCCCCGGGCUCAACCUGGGAAUGGCAAUGGAUACUGGCAAGCUAGAGUGUGUCAGAGGAUGGUGGAAUUCCCGGUGUAGCGGUGAAAUGCGUAGAGAUCGGGAGGAACAUCAGUGGCGAAGGCGGCCAUCUGGGACAACACUGACGCUGAGGCACGAAAGCGUGGGGAGCAAACAGGAUUAGAUACCCCAGUAGUCCCUGUCUCUUAUAC
rnacentral:rRNA from 1 species